UCUCUCUCUCUCUCUCUCGCCUCUCCUUGCCCCGGAAAAGAAGAAACUUUCUAAAUUUUCUAUACGAAAACAUGUUCUAAAUUUUCACAAUUUUUGCCUCCGUCUAUCAUCAACAAGUUUCCUCUCUCUUUCUUUAACAUUUUCUUGUUUCAUCCUUAAAGAAUACCAUCAUAGCUCUGCUGAGUAUAGUUUCAUUAUUGUACGAUUUUACCUUUGCCUUCCAAUCUUAAUUCCGGGUUUUCAAGAUUGACAGGAAUUGUUUUUUGAUUAAUAUGCCAAUACUUUGAAAGAUGAAGAAGGAUAUCUGCAUUUGGUGUAGCAUUUCGUUCUUCCACAGAGGGAAGAUAUUGUGUUUAUGUUUAGUUGCAUUAUAUGUAAUAAUUUGAAGAGCAUUAUCAGAUUUGAUUAGAUAAUGAGAAGGGUAUUGCGCGAAUGGGGUGGCGAUUUGAGAGGCAAUGGAAUUGAGAAAAGCUGGCAAUGCAUUUGUGUUGGUGAUGAUUCUGUUUUGCGCGUUUGCAAUUGGGAGUACACCAGGCAUGAGGAGAGAGGAAAUGUUUUUUGGAAAUGGCUGUUCUGAAAUAACAGAAGAAAUUGCAGAACUGGCUUGCAUCCAUUGUAGGAAAGCAUUGAUCAACAGAAAUGAUUGUUUUGAAGGUUUGGAUUACUAUUUACCUCAGGAAGCAACUACAAAUUCAAAAUCAACAUACGUAUGCAAAGCUAUCUGUGUUCUGCCAUCCUAUCUGAAACAAGAACUUUUGAAUUGCUUGAGGACAAAAAAUAUAAUCUCUGGCCUUUCAGCCCAAGGGGAUAUCCCCCCACAUUGGUUCGAGUGUUUUGAGUUGCUUUUUUGUUGGCCAAGUGUUCGCGGAAGAUUUCUGGCUGGUGAUUCUCAUGGGCAGAUAGCACCAAGCCCUGCUCCAUAUCUGGUUUCAGACCAUUCAGCAACAUUCCCAGGUUACAGUCGAGCUCCUUCUAAUUCAGCACCUACCAGUUCUUCAUCCUCCAAUCAACUGCCUCAUCCAUUCUUUCAAAAGAAGUUACAGCAUAAGCGAGAUAUGAAAAAUUCACAUCCCCAAUCUCCACCGCAUGCAACUCGUAUACAUUCUCCACCACGAUCACAUGCUCGUACACAUCGAACAGGACAUGGUUAUGAUAACACUGAGAAUGAAAUUUUUGUAGCUGUUGUAGCAACUGCAGCAACAACGUUUUGUUUUGUUGCUGCACUCUUCUGUUGCUGGUUAUGUUGUAGGGGCAGAAAUAACAAAAUUGGACCUAGAAAUGGACAAAGAGAUGACAGGCCUCUCCUCCACUUAAAUGAUAUCUCUGCUAGUAUGCAUAUUUUUUUUUUAACUUUGCUGUCAUUGAUUAUUAUAAGAAUAGUUUCUAAAAGCAUGUUAUCAAUUUUUCAACCUUUCAGGUUCUUCGCAGAAUUCUUCUGGUUUCAGAAAUUCAAAUUUUAAGGAGUACGGCUCAAAUAGCAGGAUGACAGCUUCUUUUAAGAGCAAUUUGUCUAUGAAGGAUGGAAAUUAUGGUCCCUCACUAGUUGAGACACCGUCAUCAAAAUUCAGUGCUGGCGAAGCAUUUCCUCCUCUAAAACCUCCUCCUGGGAGACAGGCUCCACAAUCUUCUGCACCUCCUGGACCACCACCACCUGGAGCACCACCACCACCUGGAGUACCACCACCACCUGGAGUACCACCACCUCCUGGAGCACCACCACCUCCUCCUCCUGGUCCUCAUCCCCCACCACCUCCUCCUAAAGUUGCUCGUGCUCCACCUGUUCCUCCACCAAAGGCCAACUUAAAGCCUUCAGCCCUUGGACCACAUCGUAGGGGAAACAGUGAUUCCAGUGAGAGAGAUGAUGAUUAUAGUUCAUCUGGAUCUUCAAAGACCAAGUUAAAGCCAUUCUUCUGGGAUAAGGUUAUGGCCAGCCCUGAUCAUUCAAUGGUCUGGCAUGAAAUCAGCUCU
rnacentral:misc_RNA from 1 species